rnacentral:rRNA from 1 species
AUUGAACGCUGGCGGCAGGCUUAACACAUGCAAGUCGAGCGGGGGAAGGUAGCUUGCUACCGGACCUAGCGGCGGACGGGUGAGUAAUGCUUAGGAAUCUGCCUAUUAGUGGGGGACAACAUCUCGAAAGGGAUGCUAAUACCGCAUACGUCCUACGGGAGAAAGCAGGGGAUCUUCGGACCUUGCGCUAAUAGAUGAGCCUAAGUCGGAUUAGCUAGUUGGUGGGGUAAAGGCCUACCAAGGCGACGAUCUGUAGCGGGUCUGAGAGGAUGAACCGCCACACUGGGACUGAGACACGGCCCAGACUCCUACGGGAGGCAGCAGUGGGGAAUAUUGGACAAUGGGGCGAACCCUGAUCCAGCCAUGCCGCGUGUGUGAAGAAGGCCUUAUGGUUGUAAAGCACUUUAAGCGAGGAGGAGGCUACUUUAGUUAAUACCUAGAGAUAGUGGACGUUACUCGCAGAAUAAGCACCGGCUAACUCUGUGCCAGCCGCCGCAGUAA